GCCAGCAGCCGCGGUAAUACGUAGGUGGCAAGCGUUGUCCGGAUUUAUUGGGCGUAAAGCGCCCGCAGGCGGCUCAGCAAGUUUCAGGUGAAAUCUCCUGGCUCAACUGGGAGGGGUCUUGGAAAACUGCUGGGCUUGAGGCAGGGAGAGGGAUGCGGAAUACCAGGUGUAGUGGUGAAAUGCGUAGAUAUCUGGUGGAACACCAGUGGCGAAGGCGGCAUCCUGGCCCUGUCCUGACGCUCAGGGGCGAAAGCGUGGGGAGCAAACCGGAUUAGAUACCCGGGUAGUCCACGCCGUAAACGAUGAGUACUAGGUGUAGGGGGUAUCGACCCCCUCUGUGCCGAAGCUAACGCGAUAAGUACUCCGCCUGGGGACUACGGCCGCAAGGCUAAAACUCAAAGGAAUUGACGGGGGCCCGCACAAG
rnacentral:rRNA from 1 species